UGUGAUGCAUACAACGGUGUCUGCUGGU
rnacentral:piRNA from 1 species